UUUUUACUAAGCUGAGUUGGUGUUUUAGUGACUUGGGAGGUAAAAUUGCUAAGCUACCUAUAUAAAGGAGUUAGCAGGAAGGGACGCCGUGAAAGCAUAUCCAAAGCACCACGUACUAAGCUGGUGAAGAUGAGAAGACCAGGAGGCAAGGGCUGCUCAAUGGCCUCCCUCAUUAUUACCACUCUUCUAGUGGUAAUGGUAUCUCUUAGCUUGCCACUGAAGACCACUGCAAACUACUUCUACAACCCUCCACCACCCCCUCAUCAUCAUCAUCAUCAUCAUCAUCAUCAUCCCCCUCUUUCUGACCUCUACAAACCACUACAACCACAUCCACCAGCAUCACCUAAGGCACCAUACAAGCCACCCUCACCUCCGCUGCCAGUCCACGCGCCACCUCCUCUUCACCACUAAUAAGAAAGGCUUGGAGACAAAAUGGGAUGAGAUUUGUUAGGAUGGUGAGAACAAAUAGAAAGGAGGGCUGGUUGCUGAUCUUCUACGUAAUAGAAGGGAAGAGAAUCCCCUGUGUGAUUCUUCUUCUUGCGAUAACAUAGUAAUAAUCAUGGAAAGGCUCCGGGGUGGAAAAGGAAGAAGGGGAGAAGAGAUGAGAGAGAGAGAGAGAGAGAGAAGCUUUAAUCACUUUCCAGGAAAAUAAUGUAAUGGAAAACAUGCUUGAGCAGCUUUAAGUCAAUUGUUAGUACCUUUUCUUCUAUUUAGUCCAAAUAUUUGUUACUGUUUUAUUUUCUGCAAUCUUAAAAUUAAUCUAUUGGGAUUGUCUAAA